rnacentral:rRNA from 1 species
GACGAACGCUGGCGGCGUGCCUAAUACAUGCAAGUCGAACGCUUCUUUCCUCCCGAGUGCUUGCACUCAAUUGGAAAGAGGAGUGGCGGACGGGUGAGUAACACGUGGGUAACCUACCCAUCAGAGGGGGAUAACACUUGCAAACAGGUGCUAAUACCGCAUAACAGUUUAUGCCGCAUGGCAUAAGAGUGAAAGGCGCUUUCGGGUGUCGCUGAUGGAUGGACCCGCGGUGCAUUAGCUAGUUGGUGAGGUAACGGCUCACCAAGGCCACGAUGCAUAGCCGACCUGAGAGGGUGAUCGGCCACACUGGGACUGAGACACGGCCCAGACUCCUACGGGAGGCAGCAGUAGGGAAUCUUCGGCAAUGGACGAAAGUCUGACCGAGCAACGCCGCGUGAGUGAAGAAGGUUUUCGGAUCGUAAAACUCUGUUGUUAGAGAAGAACAAGGACGUUAGUAACUGAACGUCCCCUGACGGUAUCUAACCAGAAAGACACGGCUAACUACGUG